GGGGGGGGGGGGGGGGGGGGG
rnacentral:rRNA from 1 species